UUCACAUUAUCUUUUUUUUAGAGAGAUAGAUAACACCUUACCUGUUUUAUUUAUUUUAUUAAAUAAUAAAUUUAGCUGAAAAUAUGAAUCAAUUAGAAUUCGAAUUUGGGACCUUGAGUACCAACCAUCAAGCCAUUUGUCACUUGCUCUAGGGAUGGUCGGUAACAUUAUCUUGGACAAGUAAUAAUUACAUAUCUACAACUGCUUCCUUCUUCCUUGACAUCUAUUAUGGCUAGCUACAAAAACUUAGGGGGUGUUUAUUUUUCCCGAGUCGGAAGAAGCUGGAGCUUGUGAGUCCUGACCGUACGUCAUAUCUUAACUUUAUCGCGAUAUGGGAUGAAGUCGCACUUUCAUGCCGUACAUGAAGUCGAGAACGGUGCUUAUAGAUCAUAUGCUUCCAACUGCUUUCCAUAUCUGAUCUUUAAGUUUGUCAGUCUCUUUCAAACAUCCGCACUUGUUGUUCAACAAAGUGAGAAUUUCCGUCUCUAUAUCGGCCGAAGCAAGCAUGCCCUAAAUGUUUUUUUGAGAGAUAGGCAGCACGCUACCCGCUUUGUUUAUUUCAUUUAGAAAUAAAGUUAGCUGGAAAUGUGAAUCAACUAUGAUUCGAACUUGGGUCUUGGAUACCAACCACCAAGUCCUUUGCCACUUGCUCUAGGGACAGUCGGUAGCAUGCCCUAAAUGUUAAAGGCCUUUCAUCUU
rnacentral:lncRNA from 1 species